rnacentral:piRNA from 1 species
UAGCCGUGAACAACAGAUCGAAUCCUGCU